rnacentral:tRNA from 1 species
GUUUUAAUAGUUUAAUAAAAAAAUAUAGAUUUUGUAAAUCUAAGAUAAUUAUUUUUUAAAACU